rnacentral:pre_miRNA from 1 species
ACAACAUUCGGACUGUCGGUCUACCGAGCAACAUCACCCGCUCAAGGAAGAUCUUCCCUUUGUCCA